CUGGGAUAGGUUCUCCUUCUGCUUCACAGAUGAGGGUGGCUUUCCCAUUCUCAAAUGUGGUUUCAUUUUUAAGUUGUAUUAUUUGAGGCUGUACAAAAACUUGAAGGAAUGUCUGUCUUUUAUCAUUUCCUGCUUUGUUUUUAGCACUGCAGAUAUAAGGACCCGCAUCAAUAUUUUUUAUAUCUCUUAUUGUUAACUCUGCAUUACUCCCUCUCAAUACGUAUUUUUCAUUUUCUUCAAUAAGUUUACCAUUCCUAAACCAACUUAUUUCUGGUGGAGGCGAUCCAGUGGCUCUGCAGAACAAAGUUA
rnacentral:lncRNA from 1 species